UUCGGGACGCCGGCGAGUGGCGAACGGGUGAGUAACACGUGGAGACCUGCCCUGGGGUGGGGGAUAACAGCUAGAAAUGGCUGCUAAUACCGCAUGCGCCUUACGAGGGAAAGAUUUAUUGCCCCAGGAGGGUUCCGCGUCGGAUUAGCUUGUUGGUGGGGUAACGGCCUACCAAGGCGACGAUCCGUAGCUGGUCUUAGAGGAUGAUCAGCCACACUGGGACUGAGACACGGCCCAGACUCCUACGGGAGGCAGCAGUGGGGAAUAUUGCGCAAUGGGGGAAACCCUGACGCAGCGAUGCCGCGUGGGUGAAUAAGGCCUUAGGGUUGUAAAGCCCUUUCAGUGGGAACGAUGAUGACGGUACCCACAGAAGAAGCCCCGGCUAACUCCGUGCCAGCAGCCGCGGUAAUACGGAGGGGGCGAGCGUUGUUCGGAAUUAUUGGGCGUAAAGAGCGCGUAGGCGGCUUGUUAAG
rnacentral:rRNA from 1 species